GAGCGCUCAUAGCAAUAUGGGAGCGGCGAACGGCGUAGUAAUACGUAGGAACGUACCCUCGGGUCGGGGAUAGCUACGGGAAACUGUAGGUAAUACCCGAUAAUCUCUGCGGAGCAAAGGUGUGAUUCCGCCUGAGGAGCGGCUUACGCGAUAUUAGCUAGUUGGUAGGGUAAUGGCCUACCAAGGCGAUGAUGUCUAGGGGGUGUGAGAGCAUGGCCCCCACGACCGGAACUGAGAUACUGUCCGGACACCUACGGGUGGCUGCAGUCGAGAAUCU
rnacentral:rRNA from 1 species